rnacentral:siRNA from 1 species
UUUCCAAGUUCCACCUCUCGGAA